CGCAACCCCCUUUAUGAUGCAAAGAAGCCAAUAGGUUCACUAUUUACUAGCAUUGAGAACUUGACUGUUUUAAAGCACACUUCUAUCCAUUUUAGCCACUCACUACCAAAUACAUUUGUCUAAAAACAUUCAGUAAAAAUGCCCAAUUUACAUGAUCAUAUGCUUUCUGGAUGUCUAACUUGCAUAAUAAACCCGCAACUCCACCUUUCACCCUUGAAUCUAUGCACUCACUAGCUAUCAAUGCAACAUCCAUGAUCUGUCUCCCUUUAAUGAAAGUCAUCUGAUUUUUACAAUUUUCUCACCACUCAAGUAAUUUAGCUAUGAUUUUG
rnacentral:misc_RNA from 1 species